AGGCUUGUAGCUCAGGUGGUUAGAGCGCACCCCUGAUAAGGGUGAGGUCGGUAGUUCAAGUCCACUCAGGCCUACCA
rnacentral:tRNA from 2 species